UGGGGAAUUUUGGACAAUGGGCGAAAGCCUGAUCCAGUAAUGCCGCGUGCAGGAUGAAGGCCCUCGGGUUGUAAACUGCUUUUGUACGGAACGAAAAGCCUGGGGCUAAUAUCCCCGGGUCAUGACGGUACCGUAAGAAUAAGCACCGGCUAACUACGUGCCAGCAGCCGCGGUGAUACGUAGGGUGCAAGCGUUAAUCGGAAUUACUGGGCGUAAAGCGUGCGCAGGCGGUUUUGUAAGACAGUGGUGAAAUCCCCGGGCUCAACCUGGGAACUGCCAUUGUGACUGCAAGGCUAGAGUGCGGCAGAGGGGGAUGGAAUUCCGCGUGUAGCAGUGAAAUGCGUAGAUAUGCGGAGGAACACCGAUGGCGAAGGCAAUCCCCUGGGCCUGCACUGACGCUCAUGCACGAAAGCGUGGGGAGCAAACAGG
rnacentral:rRNA from 1 species